AAGCCCUUCGAGCCUCCGCUGCGUCACGGCGCUCGGAUGGCGGCACUCACCACCGGCCAUCAUUCUUCGCCUCCGCUGCCACCGCAGCCGCCUCUCUAUUCCUUCGGCGUACCGUGGCCUGACCUCAACGAGGGUUUGCUAUACACCGACUUAGUCCGAUCCACCGGCAAUGCUACGACUCUGAUUGAGUUCUACUCUUCCAAGUACAAGAACUCGGCUCCGUUGCAAGGCUGGCUUCAAAGAAUUCGCAAUCGCCAGAUAACAGUUGAUGGUGGAGUAGUAACGGAUCCCUGUUUCGCACUCAG